GAUGAACGCUAGCGGCAGGCCUAAUACAUGCAAGUCGAACGGUAACAUGAGUAGCAAUACUUGAUGACGAGUGGCGCACGGGUGCGUAACGCGUAUGCAAUCUACCUUUAACUGGUGAAUAGCCCGAAGACAUUCGGAUUAAUACACCAUAGUAUAUUUGAAUGGCAUCCUUUAAAUAUUAAAACUCCGGAGGUUAAAGAUGAGCAUGCGUGACAUUAGCUAGUUGGUGAGGUAAUGGCUCACCAAGGCUACGAUGUCUAGGGGAUCUGAGAGGAUUAACCCCCACACUGGUACUGAGACACGGACCAGACUCCUACGGGAGGCAGCAGUAAGGAAUAUUGGACAAUGGUCGAAAGACUGAUCCAGCCAUGCCGCGUGAAGGAUGACGGCCCUAUGGGUUGUAAACUUCUUUUGUAUGGGAAAAAACCCUUCUACGUGUAGAAGGCUGAUGGUACCAUAAGAAUAAGGAUCGGCUAACUCCGUGCCAGCAGCCGCCGUAA
rnacentral:rRNA from 1 species